UAGUGGCAGACGGGUGAGUAAUAUAUAGGAAUCUACCUAGUAGUACGGGAUAAUUGUUGGAAACGGCAACUAAUACCGUAUACGCCCUACGGGGGAAAAAUUUAUUGCUAUUAGAUGAGCCUAUAUUAGAUUAGCUAGUUGGUGGGGUAAUAGCCUACCAAGGCAAUGAUCUAUAGCUGAUCUGAGAGGAUGAUCAGCCACACUGGAAUUGAGAUACGGUCCAGACUCCUACGGGAGGCAGCAGUGGGGAAUAUUGGACAAUGGGCGAAAGCCUGAUCCAGCCAUGCCGCAUGAGUGAAGAAGGCCUUUGGGUUGUAAAGCUCUUUUAGUGAGGAAGAUAAUGACGGUACUCACAGAAGAAGUCCUGGCUAACUCCGUGCCAGCAGCCGCGGUAAUACGGAGAGGGCUAGCGUUAUUCGGAAUUAUUGGGCGUAAAGGGCGCGUAGGCUGGUUAGUAAGUUAAAAGUGAAAUCUCGAGGCUUAACCUUGGAACUGCUUUUAAAACUGCUAACCUAGAGAUUGAAAGAGGAUAGAGGAAUUCCUAGUGUAGAGGUGAAAUUCGUAAAUAUUAGGAGGAACACCAGUGGCGAAGGCGUCUAUCUGGUUCAAAUCUGACGCUGAGGCGCGAAGGCGUGGGGAGCAAACAGGAUUAGAUACCCUGGUAGUCCACGCUGUAAACGAUGAAUGUUAAAUAUGGGAAGUUUACUUUCUGUAUUACAGCUAACGCGUUAAACAUUCCGCCUGGGGACUACGGUCGCAAGAUUAAAACUCAAAGGAAUUGACGGGGACCCGCACAAGCGGUGGAGCAUGUGGUUUAAUUCGAUGCAACGCGAAAAACCUUACCACUCCUUG
rnacentral:rRNA from 1 species